AGACAGGUGGUGCAUGGUUGUCGUCAGCUCGUGUCGUGAGAUGUUGGUUAAGUCCCGCAACGAGCGCAACCCUUAUUGCUAGUUACCAUCAUUAAGUUGGGGGACUCUAGCGAGACUGCCAGUGAUAAACUGGAGGAAGGUGGGGAUGACGUCAAAUCAUCAUGCCCCUUAUGACCUGGGCUACAAACGUGAUACAAUGGCUGAAACAAAGGGCAGCGAAGCAGUGAUGUGGAGCGAAACCCAAAAAAGCAGUCUCAGUUCGGAUUGAAGUCUGCAACUCGACUUCAUGAAGUUGGAAUCGCUAGUAAUCGUAGAUCAGAACGCUACGGUGAAUACGUUCUCGGGGUUU
rnacentral:rRNA from 1 species